CGCAAGCCUGACGGAGCAAGACCGCGUGGGGGAGGAAUGCCUUAGGGUUGUAAACCCCUUUUAUCUGGGAAGAACAAAAUGACGGUACCAGAUGAAUAAGCCUCGGCUAACUCCGUGCCAGCAGCCGCGGUAAUACGGAGGAUGCAAGCGUUAUCCGGAUUUAUUGGGCGUAAAGCGUCCGCAGGCGGCUAGAUAAGUCUGCUUUUAAAGAAUGGGGCUCAACCCCGUAUAGGGAGUGGAAACUGUUUAGCUAGAGUAUGGUAGGGGCAGAGGGAAUUCCCAGUGUAGCGGUGAAAUGCGUAGAUAUUGGGAAGAACACCAGUGGCGAAGGCGCUCUGCUGGACCAAAACUGACGCUGAUGGACGAAAGCUAGGGGAGCG
rnacentral:rRNA from 1 species